AUUGAACGCUGGCGGCAGGCCUAACACAUGCAAGUCGAGCGGCAGCGGGAAAGUAGCUUGCUACUUUUGCCGGCGAGCGGCGGACGGGUGAGUAAUACCUGGGGAUCUGCCCAGUCGAGGGGGAUAACUACUGGAAACGGUAGCUAAUACCGCAUACGCCCUACGGGGGAAAGCAGGGGACCUUCGGGCCUUGCGCGAUUGGAUGAACCCAGGUGGGAUUAGCUAGUUGGUGAGGUAAUGGCUCACCAAGGCGACGAUCCCUAGCUGGUCUGAGAGGAUGACCAGCCACACUGGAACUGAGACACGGUCCAGACUCCUACGGGAGGCAGCAGUGGGGAAUAUUGCACAAUGGGGGAAACCCUGAUGCAGCCAUGCCGCGUGUGUGAAGAAGGCCUUCGGGUUGUAAAGCACUUUCAGCGAGGAGGAAAGGUUGGUAGCUAAUAACUGCCAGCUGUGACGUUACUCGCAGAAGAAGCACCGGCUAACUCCGUGCCAGCCGCCGCUGUAAAAC
rnacentral:rRNA from 1 species